rnacentral:rRNA from 1 species
GCUGAUGCGUUGUUGGGUAGGGGAGCGUUCUGUAAGCCUGCGAAGGUGACCUGUGAGGGUUGCUGGAGGUAUCAGAAGUGCGAAUGCUGACAUAAGUAACGAUAAAGCGGGUGAAAAGCCCGCUCGCCGGAAGACCAAGGGUUCCUGUCCAACGUUAAUCGGGGCAGGGUGAGUCGACCCCUAAGGCGAGGCCGAAAGGCGUAGUCGAUGGGAAACGGGUUAAUAUUCCCGUACUUGGUGUUACUGCGAAGGGGGGACGGAGAAGGCUAUGUUGGCCGGGCGACGGUUGUCCCGGUUUAAGCGUGUAGGUGUGUGUUCCAGGUAAAUCCGGUUCACUUUAACACUGAGGCGUGAUGACGAGGCACUACGGUGCUGAAGCAACAAAUGCCCUGCUUCCAGGAAAAGCCUCUAAGCAUCAGGUAACAUCAAAUCGUACCCCAAACCGACACAGGUGGUCAGGUAGAGAAUACCAAGGCGCUUGAGAGAACUCGGGUGAAGGAACUAGGCAAAAUGGUGCCGUAACUUCGGGAGAAGGCACGCUGACACGUAGGUGAAGUGAUUUACUCACGGAGCUGAAGUCAGUCGAAGAUACCAGCUGGCUGCAACUGUUUAUUAAAAACACAGCACUGUGCAAACACGAAAGUGGACGUAUACGGUGUGACGCCUGCCCGGUGCCGGAAGGUUAAUUGAUGGGGUCAGCGCAAGCGAAGCUCCUGAUCGAAGCCCCGGUAAACGGCGGCCGUAACUAUAACGGUCCUAAGGUAGCGAAAUUCCUUGUCGGGUAAGUUCCGACCUGCACGAAUGGCGUAAUGAUGGCCAGGCUGUCUCCACCCGAGACUCAGUGAAAUUGAACUCGCUGUGAAGAUGCAGUGUACCCGCGGCAAGACGGAAAGACCCCGUGAACCUUUACUAUAGCUUGACACUGAACAUUGAGCCUUGAUGUGUAGGAUAGGUGGGAGGCUUUGAAGUGUGGACGCCAGUCUGCAUGGAGCCGACCUUGAAAUACCACCCUUUAAUGUUUGAUGUUCUAACGUGGACCCGUAAUCCGGGUUGCGGACAGUGUCUGGUGGGUAGUUUGACUGGGGCGGUCUCCUCCUAAAGAGUAACGGAGGAGCACGAAGGUUGGCUAAUCCUGGUCGGACAUCAGGAGGUUAGUGCAAUGGCAUAAGCCAGCUUGACUGCGAGCGUGACGGCGCGAGCAGGUGCGAAAGCAGGUCAUAGUGAUCCGGUGGUUCUGAAUGGAAGGGCCAUCGCUCAACGGAUAAAAGGUACUCCGGGGAUAACAGGCUGAUACCGCCCAAGAGUUCAUAUCGACGGCGGUGUUUGGCACCUCGAUGUCGGCUCAUCACAUCCUGGGGCUGAAGUAGGUCCCAAGGGUAUGGCUGUUCGCCAUUUAAAGUGGUACGCGAGCUGGGUUUAGAACGUCGUGAGACAGUUCGGUCCCUAUCUGCCGUGGGCGCUGGAGAACUGAGGGGGGCUGCUCCUAGUACGAGAGGACCGGAGUGGACGCAUCACUGGUGUUCGGGUUGUCAUGCCAAUGGCACUGCCCGGUAGCUAAAUGCGGAAGAGAUAAGUGCUGAAAGCAUCUAAGCACGAAACUUGCCCCGAGAUGAGUUCUCCCUG